rnacentral:rRNA from 1 species
GACGAACGCUGGCGGCGUGCUUAACACAUGCAAGUCGAACGGAAAGGCCCUGCUUUUGUGGGGUGCUCGAGUGGCGAACGGGUGAGUAACACGUGAGUAACCUGCCCUUGACUUUGGGAUAACUUCAGGAAACUGGGGCUAAUACCGGAUAGGAGCUCCUGCUGCAUGGUGGGGGUUGGAAAGUUUCGGCGGUUGGGGAUGGACUCGCGGCUUAUCAGCUUGUUGGUGGGGUAGUGGCUUACCAAGGCUUUGACGGGUAGCCGGCCUGAGAGGGUGACCGGCCACAUUGGGACGGAGAUACGGCCCAGACUCCUACGGGAGGCAGAAGUGGGGAAUAUUGCACAAUGGGCGGAAGCCUGAUGCAGCAACGCCGCGUGCGGGAUGACGGCCUUCGGGUUGUAAACCGCUUUCGCCUGUGACGAAGCGUGAGUGACGGUAAUGGGUAAAGAAGCACCGGCUAACUACGUG